rnacentral:rRNA from 1 species
UACGGGGGGGGCAAGCGUUGUUCGGAAUUACUGGGCGUAAAGGGCUCGUAGGCGGCCAUCUAAGUCAGACGUGAAAUCCCUCGGCUUAACCGGGGAACUGCGUCUGAUACUGGACGGCUUGAGUUUGGGAGAGGGAUGCGGAAUUCCAGGUGUAGCGGUGAAAUGCGUAGAUAUCUGGAGGAACACCGGUGGCGAAGGCGGCAUCCUGGACCAACACUGACGCUGAGGAGCGAAAGCCAGGGGAGCAAACGGG